CUUUUGCAAUCGUAUGACUUGUCGAGAUAGACGGUAUGGAUUUACGGUGUGGCGUGUUCGUGAAAGGAUAUAAUGGUAAUUAUGUGAGAGGUGCACGUGUGUGUGUGGCGCGAGAAGCGGGGGAUUCCUCCCCCACCUUUAUCUUUUUCCCGGGGAGAAUAAUUCUCCCAUUUCUCUCCCUCACUCUUCGGCUCACUGUCUCUCUCUCCUCUCCUCCGAAAUUUUUUCUCCUCUCUUCUCUCUUCGAUUUCAUCCACCUAGGGUGAGAUUCCGGACAAGGCCCGAGUAUUAAAGUUGUUCUACGGAGCGCGGGCUUUCCGAAUAUCCAAGAAAAAUUACGAUCGGGCCAUGUGAGAACUCGGUUGACUUGGUCAAAGGGUUGGGUUUUGCUCAAAACCCAUGAGGUAGGGAUUUCUUACGCUUGUUAUGCGUUUGUAUGUUGAUUAUGUUGAUAGAUCGUGCUUAAAAUCGUUGUUUGAGACUAUCCCUUUCAUUUCCGAAAUUCUGCAGAACAGGGUCUUCGUUGUUGGGGUUUUCUGCCGCCUUAAGCUCAUAAUUGAAUUUUGGUUCCUUCGUAUGAAAUAGAGUAGACUUAAAGCCUGUUCUAAUGCCACUGGAAUCACUCGAAACCGUUGAGAAUUGAAUUUAUGGUGAUAUCUAGAAUACUGGUCUGCAAUCUGUCUCGUUUUCUGGGUUUCAGCCCACUUCGAACGACCAUAACUUCCUCGUCCGAUGUUCGUUUUAUGCAAACUUUAUAUCGGUUCGAAGACCUCGAAGUCAGCUUUCAUUCGCCACUGGAAUCGUCUUAAAACUCUUAGUACACAAAAAGUUAUGAUCGAUUGAGUGGAGGUAUGUCAAUCUGUCAGGCAGAUUCAUGUAGCCCCGGUAAACCCUUGUUUAACCACCCUUGGAGUGCAGAUUUGAUAAGGGUUCCUUCGUGACUUUUAAGCUUCGUUCAAUCACACAACUAUUGAGACUAGAAUCACUCAAAAAUAUUAAGAACUCGAUUUAUAGUGAUUUGUAGAAGAUUGCCUUGUAAUCUGAAAAUCUGGGCAGCUCACUGAGCAGUGUUCUUCAUUGAUUAGCUAUGGUUAAACGACCCUAUUGGUUAUGGGUCCUUGUAGGUUUUAAAGAUGGGUAAGUUGGUGAUGUUUUGGCAUUGGAAUCAUUGAAAGUUAUUGAGUAUGCUAUUUUUAAUAAAUUUUUGAACACGGACUACUCUGCUGAAAAUUAGAAUAUUUGACAAUCAUUCCUAAGCUUGAAAGAUCGUAUCGUACGACUCGUUGAACGUAUCUGGGCCAUUGGUUUUUCGUUAGCAUAGUUGGAGUAUCGUCGUAAAGGCUAUAGUAGCGUGAAGGAGUCCGUGAACGUCGUAGACUAUAAGAAAUGUUGUGACGUGCUUAAUUGGUAGAGGAGUACUUGUUUGAUUAAAUUGAUUAAAUGACUUUUGGAUUCGAUUGAAUGAUUUGAUGUUUGUGGAACGCGGAAUGAACGUGAUGACAAAUAGUCACAAAGAGAUCUUUCAGGGCUCUUAAAUGAGUAAAUGUCUGGCAGGAGCUAUAUGCUCAAAUCGUAUAAUUUCAGGGCUCUUAAAUGAGUAAAUGCCUGGCAGGAGCUGUAUGCUCAAAUCGUAUAAUUUCAGGGCUCUUAAAUGAGUAAAUGCCUGGCAGGAGCUGUAUGCUCAAAUCGUACGCUUUCAGUCGUUAUCGAGUAAGUGCCUGGCAGGAGCUUAGGCUCAGACACAUGACAUGAAAUUGGUUUAUGAAGUUGAUGAAAGAGAUUCUGGCGACUGAUGAUAAUGAGAAAUGGGAUUUGGUGAUGAAAUGUGGAAUGUGAAAGAUUGUGAAAUUGUACGAGAUGUAAUGAACGGUACUAAGGCUGUUGUUUAUUUACUUAGAAUGAUGUAGGAAUAUUGAUGGUCCUUGUUUGACAUAUGAGCAGAUAGAUCCUUCAUAUAGGUCGCCUAGAAUCCCUGAUCAUAGUGUGCUACUGUUGACAGUCUUGUGUACUUGGGCUUAUCUGUCGUUACACUCUCACUCUAGAUGCAUAACUCAUCAUAUUUUCCUAUAACUCGCGUAUAGAUUUCUCUACUGGGCACGUGUAUGCUCAAACCCUAUCAUUUUCAGGUACAAAAAUAAGGAAGUUGGCAUGGCGUGCAUAUCGUGCUUAUUGAUCAUGUCUUUCAAAGGUAUAAAAGAGGCGAUUAUUUGCAUUUGAUUCGAAAGGAGUAUUUUGGAAAGACAUUUGUUAGAACUGUAAUAUUAUUUUCUUCGGACAUUGGUAUUUCGAUAACUUAGGGCCUCGAGCCAGGGAUGUACUCAUUGAAUUUUAUUUGAGAACAGUGAACAGAAAGGUCUUUUGGGGUAUUAUUUGUAUUACAGUGAGGACUUUAUUUAUUAAAAGUGUUUAUUAUUUAUGUCAAAAAUCGAGGGCGUGACAACUUGGUAUCAGAGCAUAUGUUUAGAAUACCUAGAGACCGUGGGGAGACUUUUAGUCUCAUGGGUUCAAAAUUCGUUGCAUAUUUUUUUUCAAAACACAAGUAUGCUUGCAUGAAUGAGUCGGUACAUUAUUGAGGUGUCGCAUUUUGUAUUAUGGUAGAGUGACAUUGAGUUGUUGACCUGCAUUGGGAAGUUGGAGGCUUGGACCUCAUUGUAGUGAUUGUGGCUAUAUUGACGUGUGAAGCAAAAUAUAAGAUAGCAUGUGAUAAAAGGGAUGGAAUGUUGAUAUGACUUAUGAGAUGAGUGUUAAAUGUGUUUUUAAUUGAAUUGUUUGGAUUAUGUGUUAAGUUUCAAAUGUGUUAAGUUAAGCCUAUGUGAGAUAAACUGUGUAAGGUAUAAGUAUAAGGUGAAUAAUAUAUGCAUUGGGAAUUGAGUUAGUGCGUGUCUUGAAUGUGUUUGGAAGGUAAAGUCGUGUUGUGGUGAUAACUGUGGUUGGUUACUGUAGUGGUAGUUAUUGAGACAGUUAAUAUAAGCAUAGGUAGGGCAAGUCGAACCUACAUACGAGAUAUAAGUAUCUAAAGUUGAGAUAAGAAUAUGAGGGUUAUAGGUAGGGUGUCUAGAUACAGUAUGUGUCUCCUGGACACCCAGGCGACUACCGAUGAGAUCCAAUUGGAAGAGGCGCUUGAUCACCGCUCCUUCUAGAUGGAAGUCUCGGAAAGUCAAUUGGACACUAGGAUUGUGUAUAGGUGUUAGAUCUCUAGGCUUGAGAUAGAUGACUCUACGUAGGAAUUUCGUAGAAAAAUGAUGUGCUAUGGUGUCGUAGUCUUCAUUGUUGAGGUGAAUGUCGUGGUGGUGUCGUUUUGAUAGGAUGGUAAAAAAAAAAAAAAAAGGGAAGAAGACUUGAGGUGAUAGAUUUGAGAGGGACUAAUGUUUAAAUAGUGGUAGUGAUAGCAGUGAUGGUGAUGAGAAUAGUGCGGUUGAUAUUAUUGAGGUUGAGUACAAUUGUGGUAAAUAUCUUUGAGGAAAAUUGAUGUCGUUAUGACUACUUAGUUGAAAGAAGAAAUUUGUGAGCUGUGAAACUUGUGGUGAGCGGAACUGUUAAAAGAUAUUGGUGUGAGAGAAUUGAUUCUUAGGUGAGAAGUAGUUGGAAUCUUAGAAUGUGAUGAGAAGUAUAGACAUGCUGUUUGCAACCCUCUAGUCUUGUUGGUAUUUAGGAAGGAGUUUGUAAAUUUGUUUGUGCUUGUAUUGGUGUUUAAAUUUUGGUAUCGAGAUAAUCAAUAGUUUUGGAAGUUCGUUAGUGCAACUAUUGCACACAUUGUGUAGGUAUUUGGGUGAUGAAAUGCCAUGUGAUUGUAAAGUUGAUAGAGAAAUGAUUAAUAUUGAUGUUGUGUAUUUGUUAUGUGAUAUUUGAGAUUGUGAAAAUGGGAAACAUGUGACUUGAGUAGACUAAUUGACGAGAGUAUUUGAGAUUGAUGGGUGAACAGAACAUGUGAAAGGUAUGAUGAAGUUGAAAAGAACGAGAUUACCAUUGGGCUUUCUAGAGCCAUGAAAUGUGAAUCUGUGGAUACUUUGUGAGUUGGUGAGUCUGCUGGAUACUGAGUGAGUCUAUUAAUGCGUGGAUGUGUUUGGUGUUGUGUAAGCUACUAAAUUGUACCGUGGGUUGUUGAAAUAUUUCGUGAAUGAAAUGUGCUGUUGUUUAGCUUUAACCUACAUGUUUGAUUUAUUAUGUAAUCUCAAUGCGAGAAAUUUGCUUUUAGUAUACGAUGUAGAAUAAACAGUGAUGCUUAUGUGGGUAGUUGCUACGAGUGUAUGCCUUUCCUGAGUAGCAGUAACGAUGUUUGGAGAAUUGGGUUUAAGGAAAAUAGUGGAUUGAUAUUUUACUAUAACGGUUUUAAUGUGUGUUGUGAAAAGUUAUGUAGAAGGGACGCAUUACCAUAGAAGUGAGUUUAAGUUUUCGAAAAUAGAAACCAGUGGUGAUUCUCAGCGGGCUAGGGAAUGUGGAGUAUUGCUAGACUAUUGGUUAUGUUGGAAUGUUGAAUGGACGAAAAAGUAGAUGGGGUUUAAGCCGAGUUGGUAAAAGAGUUAUAUGGGUAGCCAGAGGUGUGAGUUGGUGAUUGUGGCUAGCGGUUUUGUUUAUAUGUGUUUGGUUGUGUUGACAAUUAUUAGCAGAAUCAAUAGAAUUGAAUAAGUUGUGAGGUGUGUUUAUUCUUAAAGUCGAGAGAAAGAUCAAUAGAUUGAAGUAUGGGCAGUUUGACCAUUAUGAGUGGAUGUUUAUAGCUGAGCAAUGGGUGAUGAGUUAUUAUGUGGUUUAGAAUUCGAGGCUUAUUAGUUUUAUUCCAAUGGAGAUUAUUUGAGGUUCUUUGGAUUGGUGAGUAAAGGUUUGAUUCAUUGAUUGAUGUUGAUUGAAAACGAUAGAACUUGGAGUUUAGAAUUCGAGUUUUUCUGAGCAGCUUAAUUUGUCCUUCUAGAAAUUUCGAGAAAUACUUAGAGAACGUAAGGAGAUUGUUUGUUGGAUUUUGAUGUGAUUGUCAUGUUGGUAAGUGGAGUCUAAGAAUUUUGUACAGAUGUGAAGACUUGAGGAUUUGAUAAAAUGAUAGUGGUUUGCGAUUGAGUGUUGAGUGGUAGAACCAUAAUAAUAGUGAGGAUUUCGUGGAGUAAUCAGAAAAAAAAAAAAAGAGGGUCUACAUAGAAAGGAGAGGAUGAUGUGAUUAUUAUGAGAUGGCAGUAUGAGGUUUGGUAUUGUGGUUUGUGACUUGGUUGGACUUGGAUGAGCAAAUUUCGAGGACGAAAUUAUUUUUAAGGAGGGUAGGAUGUAGAGACCCAUAUUUUUUUGGACCGUAUUUUUCUUUUGCAAUCGUAUGACUUGUCGAGAUAGACGGUAUGGAUUUACGGUGUGGCGUGUUCGUGAAAGGAUAUAAUGGUAAUUAUGUGAGAGGUGCACGUGUGUGUGUGGCGCGAGAAGCGGGGGAUUCCUCCCCCACCUUUAUCUUUUUCCCGGGGAGAAUAAUUCUCCCAUUUCUCUCCCUCACUCUUCGGCUCACUGUCUCUCUCUCCUCUCCUCCGAAAUUUUUUCUCCUCUCUUCUCUCUUCGAUUUCAUCCACCUAGGGUGAGAUUCCGGACAAGGCCCGAGUAUUAAAGUUGUUCUACGGAGCGCGGGCUUUCCGAAUAUCCAAGAAAAAUUACGAUCGGGCCAUGUGAGAACUCGGUUGACUUGGUCAAAGGGUUGGGUUUUGCUCAAAACCCAUGAGGUAGGGAUUUCUUACGCUUGUUAUGCGUUUGUAUGUUGAUUAUGUUGAUAGAUCGUGCUUAAAAUCGUUGUUUGAGACUAUCCCUUUCAUUUCCGAAAUUCUGCAGAACAGGGUCUUCGUUGUUGGGGUUUUCUGCCGCCUUAAGCUCAUAAUUGAAUUUUGGUUCCUUCGUAUGAAAUAGAGUAGACUUAAAGCCUGUUCUAAUGCCACUGGAAUCACUCGAAACCGUUGAGAAUUGAAUUUAUGGUGAUAUCUAGAAUACUGGUCUGCAAUCUGUCUCGUUUUCUGGGUUUCAGCCCACUUCGAACGACCAUAACUUCCUCGUCCGAUGUUCGUUUUAUGCAAACUUUAUAUCGGUUCGAAGACCUCGAAGUCAGCUUUCAUUCGCCACUGGAAUCGUCUUAAAACUCUUAGUACACAAAAAGUUAUGAUCGAUUGAGUGGAGGUAUGUCAAUCUGUCAGGCAGAUUCAUGUAGCCCCGGUAAACCCUUGUUUAACCACCCUUGGAGUGCAGAUUUGAUAAGGGUUCCUUCGUGACUUUUAAGCUUCGUUCAAUCACACAACUAUUGAGACUAGAAUCACUCAAAAAUAUUAAGAACUCGAUUUAUAGUGAUUUGUAGAAGAUUGCCUUGUAAUCUGAAAAUCUGGGCAGCUCACUGAGCAGUGUUCUUCAUUGAUUAGCUAUGGUUAAACGACCCUAUUGGUUAUGGGUCCUUGUAGGUUUUAAAGAUGGGUAAGUUGGUGAUGUUUUGGCAUUGGAAUCAUUGAAAGUUAUUGAGUAUGCUAUUUUUAAUAAAUUUUUGAACACGGACUACUCUGCUGAAAAUUAGAAUAUUUGACAAUCAUUCCUAAGCUUGAAAGAUCGUAUCGUACGACUCGUUGAACGUAUCUGGGCCAUUGGUUUUUCGUUAGCAUAGUUGGAGUAUCGUCGUAAAGGCUAUAGUAGCGUGAAGGAGUCCGUGAACGUCGUAGACUAUAAGAAAUGUUGUGACGUGCUUAAUUGGUAGAGGAGUACUUGUUUGAUUAAAUUGAUUAAAUGACUUUUGGAUUCGAUUGAAUGAUUUGAUGUUUGUGGAACGCGGAAUGAACGUGAUGACAAAUAGUCACAAAGAGAUCUUUCAGGGCUCUUAAAUGAGUAAAUGUCUGGCAGGAGCUAUAUGCUCAAAUCGUAUAAUUUCAGGGCUCUUAAAUGAGUAAAUGCCUGGCAGGAGCUGUAUGCUCAAAUCGUAUAAUUUCAGGGCUCUUAAAUGAGUAAAUGCCUGGCAGGAGCUGUAUGCUCAAAUCGUACGCUUUCAGUCGUUAUCGAGUAAGUGCCUGGCAGGAGCUUAGGCUCAGACACAUGACAUGAAAUUGGUUUAUGAAGUUGAUGAAAGAGAUUCUGGCGACUGAUGAUAAUGAGAAAUGGGAUUUGGUGAUGAAAUGUGGAAUGUGAAAGAUUGUGAAAUUGUACGAGAUGUAAUGAACGGUACUAAGGCUGUUGUUUAUUUACUUAGAAUGAUGUAGGAAUAUUGAUGGUCCUUGUUUGACAUAUGAGCAGAUAGAUCCUUCAUAUAGGUCGCCUAGAAUCCCUGAUCAUAGUGUGCUACUGUUGACAGUCUUGUGUACUUGGGCUUAUCUGUCGUUACACUCUCACUCUAGAUGCAUAACUCAUCAUAUUUUCCUAUAACUCGCGUAUAGAUUUCUCUACUGGGCACGUGUAUGCUCAAACCCUAUCAUUUUCAGGUACAAAAAUAAGGAAGUUGGCAUGGCGUGCAUAUCGUGCUUAUUGAUCAUGUCUUUCAAAGGUAUAAAAGAGGCGAUUAUUUGCAUUUGAUUCGAAAGGAGUAUUUUGGAAAGACAUUUGUUAGAACUGUAAUAUUAUUUUCUUCGGACAUUGGUAUUUCGAUAACUUAGGGCCUCGAGCCAGGGAUGUACUCAUUGAAUUUUAUUUGAGAACAGUGAACAGAAAGGUCUUUUGGGGUAUUAUUUGUAUUACAGUGAGGACUUUAUUUAUUAAAAGUGUUUAUUAUUUAUGUCAAAAAUCGAGGGCGUGACAACUUGGUAUCAGAGCAUAUGUUUAGAAUACCUAGAGACCGUGGGGAGACUUUUAGUCUCAUGGGUUCAAAAUUCGUUGCAUAUUUUUUUUCAAAACACAAGUAUGCUUGCAUGAAUGAGUCGGUACAUUAUUGAGGUGUCGCAUUUUGUAUUAUGGUAGAGUGACAUUGAGUUGUUGACCUGCAUUGGGAAGUUGGAGGCUUGGACCUCAUUGUAGUGAUUGUGGCUAUAUUGACGUGUGAAGCAAAAUAUAAGAUAGCAUGUGAUAAAAGGGAUGGAAUGUUGAUAUGACUUAUGAGAUGAGUGUUAAAUGUGUUUUUAAUUGAAUUGUUUGGAUUAUGUGUUAAGUUUCAAAUGUGUUAAGUUAAGCCUAUGUGAGAUAAACUGUGUAAGGUAUAAGUAUAAGGUGAAUAAUAUAUGCAUUGGGAAUUGAGUUAGUGCGUGUCUUGAAUGUGUUUGGAAGGUAAAGUCGUGUUGUGGUGAUAACUGUGGUUGGUUACUGUAGUGGUAGUUAUUGAGACAGUUAAUAUAAGCAUAGGUAGGGCAAGUCGAACCUACAUACGAGAUAUAAGUAUCUAAAGUUGAGAUAAGAAUAUGAGGGUUAUAGGUAGGGUGUCUAGAUACAGUAUGUGUCUCCUGGACACCCAGGCGACUACCGAUGAGAUCCAAUUGGAAGAGGCGCUUGAUCACCGCUCCUUCUAGAUGGAAGUCUCGGAAAGUCAAUUGGACACUAGGAUUGUGUAUAGGUGUUAGAUCUCUAGGCUUGAGAUAGAUGACUCUACGUAGGAAUUUCGUAGAAAAAUGAUGUGCUAUGGUGUCGUAGUCUUCAUUGUUGAGGUGAAUGUCGUGGUGGUGUCGUUUUGAUAGGAUGGUAAAAAAAAAAAAAAAAGGGAAGAAGACUUGAGGUGAUAGAUUUGAGAGGGACUAAUGUUUAAAUAGUGGUAGUGAUAGCAGUGAUGGUGAUGAGAAUAGUGCGGUUGAUAUUAUUGAGGUUGAGUACAAUUGUGGUAAAUAUCUUUGAGGAAAAUUGAUGUCGUUAUGACUACUUAGUUGAAAGAAGAAAUUUGUGAGCUGUGAAACUUGUGGUGAGCGGAACUGUUAAAAGAUAUUGGUGUGAGAGAAUUGAUUCUUAGGUGAGAAGUAGUUGGAAUCUUAGAAUGUGAUGAGAAGUAUAGACAUGCUGUUUGCAACCCUCUAGUCUUGUUGGUAUUUAGGAAGGAGUUUGUAAAUUUGUUUGUGCUUGUAUUGGUGUUUAAAUUUUGGUAUCGAGAUAAUCAAUAGUUUUGGAAGUUCGUUAGUGCAACUAUUGCACACAUUGUGUAGGUAUUUGGGUGAUGAAAUGCCAUGUGAUUGUAAAGUUGAUAGAGAAAUGAUUAAUAUUGAUGUUGUGUAUUUGUUAUGUGAUAUUUGAGAUUGUGAAAAUGGGAAACAUGUGACUUGAGUAGACUAAUUGACGAGAGUAUUUGAGAUUGAUGGGUGAACAGAACAUGUGAAAGGUAUGAUGAAGUUGAAAAGAACGAGAUUACCAUUGGGCUUUCUAGAGCCAUGAAAUGUGAAUCUGUGGAUACUUUGUGAGUUGGUGAGUCUGCUGGAUACUGAGUGAGUCUAUUAAUGCGUGGAUGUGUUUGGUGUUGUGUAAGCUACUAAAUUGUACCGUGGGUUGUUGAAAUAUUUCGUGAAUGAAAUGUGCUGUUGUUUAGCUUUAACCUACAUGUUUGAUUUAUUAUGUAAUCUCAAUGCGAGAAAUUUGCUUUUAGUAUACGAUGUAGAAUAAACAGUGAUGCUUAUGUGGGUAGUUGCUACGAGUGUAUGCCUUUCCUGAGUAGCAGUAACGAUGUUUGGAGAAUUGGGUUUAAGGAAAAUAGUGGAUUGAUAUUUUACUAUAACGGUUUUAAUGUGUGUUGUGAAAAGUUAUGUAGAAGGGACGCAUUACCAUAGAAGUGAGUUUAAGUUUUCGAAAAUAGAAACCAGUGGUGAUUCUCAGCGGGCUAGGGAAUGUGGAGUAUUGCUAGACUAUUGGUUAUGUUGGAAUGUUGAAUGGACGAAAAAGUAGAUGGGGUUUAAGCCGAGUUGGUAAAAGAGUUAUAUGGGUAGCCAGAGGUGUGAGUUGGUGAUUGUGGCUAGCGGUUUUGUUUAUAUGUGUUUGGUUGUGUUGACAAUUAUUAGCAGAAUCAAUAGAAUUGAAUAAGUUGUGAGGUGUGUUUAUUCUUAAAGUCGAGAGAAAGAUCAAUAGAUUGAAGUAUGGGCAGUUUGACCAUUAUGAGUGGAUGUUUAUAGCUGAGCAAUGGGUGAUGAGUUAUUAUGUGGUUUAGAAUUCGAGGCUUAUUAGUUUUAUUCCAAUGGAGAUUAUUUGAGGUUCUUUGGAUUGGUGAGUAAAGGUUUGAUUCAUUGAUUGAUGUUGAUUGAAAACGAUAGAACUUGGAGUUUAGAAUUCGAGUUUUUCUGAGCAGCUUAAUUUGUCCUUCUAGAAAUUUCGAGAAAUACUUAGAGAACGUAAGGAGAUUGUUUGUUGGAUUUUGAUGUGAUUGUCAUGUUGGUAAGUGGAGUCUAAGAAUUUUGUACAGAUGUGAAGACUUGAGGAUUUGAUAAAAUGAUAGUGGUUUGCGAUUGAGUGUUGAGUGGUAGAACCAUAAUAAUAGUGAGGAUUUCGUGGAGUAAUCAGAAAAAAAAAAAAAGAGGGUCUACAUAGAAAGGAGAGGAUGAUGUGAUUAUUAUGAGAUGGCAGUAUGAGGUUUGGUAUUGUGGUUUGUGACUUGGUUGGACUUGGAUGAGCAAAUUUCGAGGACGAAAUUAUUUUUAAGGAGGGUAGGAUGUAGAGACCCAUAUUUUUUUGGACCGUAUUUUUCUUUUGCAAUCGUAUGACUUGUCGAGAUAGACGGUAUGGAUUUACGGUGUGGCGUGUUCGUGAAAGGAUAUAAUGGUAAUUAUGUGAGAGGUGCACGUGUGUGUGUGGCGCGAGAAGCGGGGGAUUCCUCCCCCACCUUUAUCUUUUUCCCGGGGAGAAUAAUUCUCCCAUUUCUCUCCCUCACUCUUCGGCUCACUGUCUCUCUCUCCUCUCCUCCGAAAUUUUUUCUCCUCUCUUCUCUCUUCGAUUUCAUCCACCUAGGGUGAGAUUCCGGACAAGGCCCGAGUAUUAAAGUUGUUCUACGGAGCGCGGGCUUUCCGAAUAUCCAAGAAAAAUUACGAUCGGGCCAUGUGAGAACUCGGUUGACUUGGUCAAAGGGUUGGGUUUUGCUCAAAACCCAUGAGAUACAAAUCAGAGGCUGUGACAUGGGUUGCUGUGCUUGCAUGUGAUCCUACAUUUUAAAAGCGACUUUAGAGAGUUAAUUUUGUAUCUCUUAUAAACUUUAUCUCUAGAUGAAGAAAUUGUAUUCUUCUUAUUAUUAUUAUUUCGUUUGAUUAAAUGAAGGAUUCCUGUAAACUCUUAAUUUUCUUUUAACGUGAUCUAGUGGUUUUAGGCUGUUGGGCCAAGGAUGUAAAUUUGAAAAUGCUUUGGAGUUUGGAGAUGAUUUGCGAACAAGGGAAAUAGAAAUGGCUUUUGGGUAAUAUUUGUAUUAUUGUGAGGAUUUUUAUUUAUGGAAAACCUUUAAUAUUUAUGUUGAAAAUCGAAGACGUGACAUUAUGUCUUGA